rnacentral:lncRNA from 10 species
CAUGAAGCACUACUGGACAUCUGGAGAUGAAACUGAGCUCAAAUGAAGAAAAUCAUGAUCAAGCAGAGAAAAGCUAUGAUUAGAUCUGCAGGAAGCUGCAACACAGAAAUUUGAAUUUUGAGUUCUGACAAACAAGUUCCUUCAAAUUCACUAAAGAUAUCUCCUGACAUUUUUUCAUCCAUGAGCAAGUCAAAAGGAGUUCUACUCAACUGCUGGGAUCCUGGAAAAUUCGAACCCCUGUCUACAUAGAUGAAAAUCUAGCAGAGGACAUCCCGCCCCAGAGGAUGGGGGAGCCCCCAGAUGGAACAAGCAUAGCUCCCUGAAGGGCUGCAUGGCAACAGGCUCCCCUCAUCCCUUCUCUGACCCACGUUAGACUGGAACAUGAGUGACACCUAAACCUCUGAAGCAAUUUUAACCAGCCCAAGUUUCAAGCUUUAAAGGGCCGCAAUUUUGCAUACACAAAUGAUGGGGACCUCAGAAGCUGUGCCUACAAGGACUUCCAUUCUACCGUUCCAUUCAUGCCAUGAUUGCAUCCUGUAGCCUUUCUGAAAACCAAAUAAACAAUGCCGGGUGAAG